ACAACUCCGAUUUCAGAUCCGUUUGUUUCUACGCGUUCCUAACUUCGAGACCCACCUAUUCCACCGACCUAUGGUCUAUAUAAACUCUCCACCAGACCGCAGUUUCGUUUUCCCUUUCCUCCUCUCGAAACCCUACAUCAACGAAAUCUUAACUCGUUGAUUUGACCACCAAAACUACCUCGAAUCACCUCGGGCUCUACACGAAAGUUGUAGAUCUCGUCGAGAUCUUUCAAUCCCGACCAAUCUCAUCUCUUUUCAUCCACCAUACACGAAUAAUUUCGCUUCGCAAGGCGUCAGGUCUGACAAAGGGAAUCUCCAAUUUGUUCGUGCUCGUUCCACGAAAUCCAAAUUCCUUUGAUCUAUUUCGAGUCAACCGGAGCCAAAUCGAGUUUCAAAACCAUCUCGAAUCGUCAUGACCUCAACACGGAAGUUGUUCCUCUCGUCAAGAUCUUUCAAUUGCCGCAAGUUUCACCUUGUUUCGUUCACCGAGCAAGGAGAAAAUCGUGUUGCAAGAUUCAGAUCUUAUAAGUUCGUACGGAGAGGCACGUAUUUUGAAUAAGAGAAGUGAACGCGCUUCGACUACCAAAAAGGCAAGUGACACUCAAUUACCUACCUAUUUUGUUAAGCAUUAGUGUUUUAUAAAUUAGUAUGCAUGGUAGGAAUUUGUUUUCGAAAGUUAUGCUAUGCUUAUCAAUCCCAGUAGUGUAUAGUCACCAUGAACCCUUGCUAGCAUUCUUAGUUUGCCUAGCAAUAACAAAAUGCCAUUGCUGAUUUGAUUAUUAUGGAUUGUGAGUAUUGGGAAUUAAAAUUAACAACCUUAAUGAAACACCUGGGUGGAUUGGUUGAAUGGUGGGCGGCUACUCAGGGCCACAGGACUCCUGUCUAGUACUUGUCUUGUGGUUGUCUUCGCCUGGGGGUGCGCAUAAGUUGAGUGGCUACUCAGGGCCACAUGACUCCUGUCUAGU